CAAUAGACACCCAUCGUGUCUUUUGCUCUGCAGUCAGUAAAUAUUUUGUUGUGAAUGUGUAGCAAAAGACAGAAUGGUGGUCCAUUG
rnacentral:miRNA from 13 species